GGCGCAUGCGCACUCCGACACAUGCAGUCUCAGCCGCGCACUCCAACAAACGAACUGUCAGAAACGUGUGUGAAUUAAAUGCACAAACAGGCCAAUUGAGCGUGUCAUGACAGAUCUUAAAACUGCCAGUCAGUGAUGCUUGGAGAACUCUUGGGAUCUUCUUGGCUCAGUUCAGCUUCCACUUAUAAUGUGCAUGGAGGGUGAUGAAGCUGCAGAGGCCUUGGAACAGUUCUUCACUACAGAUGUCAUAGAACAUGAUAGUGUAGAGCCUCUGAUGUUUGUUUUUACUUUUAUGCAGGACAUGCAUACAUUAUUAGAGAAUGUGGUGGACAAAAUGCACCUUAAUGUCUUUUGUUGAGUACAAAAUUGAAAAAGGUUGUCCAUUUUUUGUUUUGGGUUAUGAUUUUAUGUUACAUUUUUUCACAAUGCCACAUAUGGCCCGUCCUGCUCUUUAUUUAUAUAUAUAUAUGUAUAUAUAGUAUGUCUAUAUAAUAAAACUUUAUCAUUAAACCAUU